UACAGGGGGUGCAAACGUUGCUCGGAAUCAUUGGGCGUAAAGCGCACGUAGGCGGUUCGUUAUGUCGGAUGUGAAAGCCCUUGGCUUAACCGAGGAAGUGCAUCCGAAACUGGCGAGCUAGAGUACGAAAGAGGAUCGCGGAAUUCCCGGUGUAGAGGUGAAAUUCGAAGAUAUCGGGAGGAACACCGGUGGCGAAGGCGGCGAUCUGGGUCGAUACUGACGCUGAGGUGCGAAAGCGUGGGGAGCAAACAGG
rnacentral:rRNA from 1 species